CGUCUCUCCGGCCCCAGAUCCAUGGAGUCGUCUGGCUCCAGACGGACCGAGCCGGCCCUCUCCUCCACCUGAGAAGGAAAAGGGCUGCAGAGCCACCAAAGUGCCUUGACCUGGGCGGCUGACAGAUGAAGGAGUACAUUUGGGAGACUCCAGAUUCCGUCAACUGUCAGUCGAAUUCAUACAACAGAUAUGGAUACAGAGGGGUGACUGUAUACUGGAGCCAACAGAUAUGGAUACAGAACCCAUGGAUACAGAGGGCUGACUGUAUACUGGAGCCCACCAAACUGUACUUUUAAGUGGUGAAAUUUAUGGUAUGUAAGUUAUAUCUCAGUAGAGGGAAAAAAGGGGGACACCAUUCUUCUUAGUGGCCCAAAAUAAAUGGCAUGAACCCAGCAGGUUUCUGAAAGCCCCAGCACUUUUUUUUUUUUUUGGCCCCAGCACUCUUGAUAAAUACUAACUCCCCUGACUCAGAAGAUUCCUUGGUGGUUCAGUGGUUAAGACUUUGUGUUCCACUGCAGGGGCUGUGGGUUCGAUACCUGGUUGGGGAACUG